GACGGACCACACGAACGUUAUUCGGAAUUACUGGGCUUAAAGGGUGCGUAGGCGGCGCAGAAAGUAGGGUGUGAAAGCCCUCGGCUUAACCGAGGAAUUGCGCUCUAAACUACUGUGCUUGAGGAACCUAGAGGUGAGCAGAACAGAUGGUGGAGCGGUGAAAUGCGUUGAUAUCAUCUGGAAUACCGGAGGCGAAGGCGGCUCACUGGGGGUUUUCUGACGCUGAGGAACGAAAGCCAGGGUAGCGAACGGG
rnacentral:rRNA from 1 species